rnacentral:rRNA from 1 species
UACGGAGGGUGCGAGCGUUGUCCGGAAUCAUUGGGCGUAAAGAGCUCGUAGGCGGCCUGUUGCGUCCGCUGUGAAAGCCCGGGGCUUAACCCCGGGUCGGCAGUGGAUACGGGCAGGCUAGAGGUAGGUAGGGGAGAAUGGAAUUCCCGGUGUAGCGGUGAAAUGCGCAGAUAUCGGGAGGAACACCGGUGGCGAAGGCGGCUCACUGGCUCAUUACUGACGCUCAGGCGCGACAGCGUGGGGAUCAAACAGG